rnacentral:rRNA from 1 species
UACGAAGGGUGCAAACGUUGCUCGGAGUCAUUGGGCGUAAAGCGCACGUAGGCGGCUUCGCAAGUCGGAUGUGAAAUCCCUCGGCUCAACCGAGGACGUGCAUCCGAAACUGCGGAGCUUGAGUACUGAAGAGGAUCGCGGAAUUCCCGGUGUAGAGGUGAAAUUCGUAGAUAUCGGGAGGAACACCAGUGGCGAAGGCGGCGAUCUGGGCAGAUACUGACGCUGAGGUGCGAAAGCGUGGGGAGCAAACAGG